GUUAACGGCACGAGUCGGAAAUAGGAAUCCCCGGCUCGCAGUGGACUCACCACAAGUAGAGAAAUGUCGCAUCUCUAACAGGAGACCCACUGGCAAAAUCCGAUCCCUGCCUCCACGUGGCGCUGCUGGAUGUCGGUCUUGAUGAGCCUCGCCACCUCAGUCAAGACCUAACCAAAGGGACGGUACUGAUCCCUUUGUUUGUAUCACAAAGAGACAGUGGAAAGGGCCUAUGAACGAUCAUUAUCCGGGAGGGAGAUUGGGCACCUCCUGACUCCUAUUUACGAUGAUCUAUAAAGAUAGGUUCAAAAGAAGCGAGAAAGGACUGUGGGGACAGUCAUGGAUCUGGAGGAAGCCAGCUGCCACUUCCUGGGCCAGUAUCAUAUAUGACCCCAAAGGUCCGCACGAGAAAGAUCCUUGCACGAGGAUCAUCAAAGAGGGGACCAUGGAACGAUCAUAAUACGGAAGGGAGAUUCGCCGCCUCUUUGCUUCUGUAUCAAAUGAUCUUAGUACAAAGGUCUAUCAGAUUAUUACACCGGUCGUCGGCAUUGGCUUCUUGGGACCAGUGCUAUGGACCUGGAUUGUAAGAUCUCAAAGUGGAAAUACGGGCUACCCAAGAGCCCAGGGAAAUGUUGUGCAUCGGGCAUCGGCAAUGGAAACUUGGAGCCGUUGCUAUUGGCCCGAACGCAGGCUUUCCAAAGCAGGCGUGGAUGUCCAAGCGUCUAAGAGGGAAACUGUGCAUCUUGUAUCGGCACUGGAAAUAGUGCGCCAGUGCUAUUGGCUUGAUCACAAAUUUCCAAUGGCUGGCUUUCUACAGGUCAGUUCAUCAAGCGAGAGACCACAAGGGGAAACGGUCAUAAAUCUGGAGGAAGGUUCUGCGCACUUCCUGAGUCAGUAUUAUACCUGACCUCAAAGGUCCGCAAGAUCCUUGCACGAGGAUCAUCAAGGAGGCGACCAUGGAACGAUCAUAAUACGGGAGUGGGAUUGUCGUCCUCCUGACUCCUGUGUCAGAUGAUCUUAGUACAAAGGUCCAUACGAUUGUUACACCGGUCGUCGGCAUUGGUAUCUUGGGACCAAUGCUAUGGGUCUGGAGCGUAAGAUAUCAAGGUGGAAGAAAGGGCUUCCCAAGAGCCCAGGGAAAUGCUGUGCACUGGGCAUCCGUAGUGGAAUCUUAGAGCCAUUGCUAUCGGCCCAGAACGCAGGCUUCCCAAAGUAGGUGUGGACGUCUGAGCGUCCAGGAAGAGCGAUGUGUGUUGUGCUGCAAUACUUCACCAGGGCACUGGUAUUGUUAGCUCCUACACUGGGUUUUCACAACCCAUGUGAUUCAAACGCCUGGAAAAUCGCACAGGUUGAGUGCGACAAAAAAUAUAAUAAAAAAAAAACAAAAAAAGAAGGAGUGGGAGAACAUCAAAGUGGGAAACUUAGUUCAAACGAACGAGAUAAGUUUCUCUAACAAUGUGGUCCAUAAGAUUGUUACACCGGUCGUCGGCAUUGGCUUCUUGGGACCAGUGCUAUGGACCUGGACCGUAAGAUCUCAAAGUGGAAAUACGGGCUACCCAAGAGCCCAGGGAAAUGCUGUGCAUCGGGCAUCGGCAGUGGAAUCUUGGAGCCGUUGCUAUUGGCCCGAACGCAGGCUUCCCAAAGCAGGCGUGGAUGUCCAAGUGUCUAAGAGGGAAACUGUGCAUCUUGUAUCGGCACUGGAAAUAGUGCGCCAGUGCUAUUGGCUUGAUCGCAGAUUUCCAAUGGCUGGCUUUCUACAGGUCAGUUCAUCAAGCGAGAGACCACAAGGGGAAACGGUUAUGAAUCUGGAGGAAGGUUCUCCGCACUACCUGAGCCAGUAUUAUACCUGACCUCAAAGGUCCGCAAGAUCCUUGCACGAGGAUCAUCAAGGAGGGGAUCAUGAAACGAUCAUAAUACGGGAGCGGGAUUGGGGUCCUCCUGACUCCUGUGUCAGAUGAUGUUAUCACAAUGGUCCAUAAGAUUGUUACACCGGUCGUCGGCAUUGGCUUCUUGGGACCAGUGCUAUGGACCUGGACCGUAAGAUCUCAAAGUGGAAAUACGGGCUACCCAAGUGCCCAGGGAAAUGCUGUGCAUCGGGCAUCGGCAGUGGAAUCUUGGAGCCGUUGCUAUUGGCCCGAACGAAGGCUUCUCAAAGCAGGCGUGGAUGUCCAAGCGUCUAAGAGGGAAACUGUGCAUCUUGUAUCGGCACUGGAAAUAGUGCGCCAGUGCUAUUGGCUUGAUCGCAGAUUUCCAAUGGCUGGCUUUCUACAGGUCAGUUCAUCAAGCGAGAGACCGCAAGGGGAAACGGUCAUAAAUCUGGAGGAAGGUUCUCCGCACUUCCUGAGCCAGUAUUAUACCUGACCUCAAAGGUCCGCAAGAUCCUUGCACGAGGAUCAUCAAGGAGGGGACCAUGGAACGAUCAUAAUACGGGAGGGAGAUUGGGAACCUCCUGACUCCUGUGUCAGAUGAUCUUAGUACAAAGGUCCAUAAGAUUGUUACACCGGUCGUCGGCAUUGGCUUCUUGGGACCAGUGCUAUGGACCUGGACCGUAAGAUCUCAAAGUGGAAAUACGGGCUACCCAAGAGCCCAGGGAAAUGCUGUGCAUCGGGCAUCGGCAGUGGAAUCUUGGAGCCGUUGCUAUUGGCCCGAACGCAGGCUUCCCAAAGCAGGCGUGGAUGUCCAAGUGUCUAAGAGGGAAACUGUGCAUCUUGUAUCGGCACUGGAAAUAGUGCGCCAGUGCUAUUGGCUUGAUCGCAGAUUUCCAAUGGCUGGCUUUCUACAGGUCAGUUCAUCAAGCGAGAGACCACAAGGGGAAACGGUUAUGAAUCUGGAGGAAGGUGCUCCGUACUUCCUGAGCCAGUAUCAUACCUGACCUCAAAGGUCCGCAAGAUCCUAGCACGAGGAUCAUCAAGGAAGGGACCAAGGAACGAUCAUAAUACGGGAGGGAGAUUGGGAACCUCCUGACUCCUGUGUCAGAUGAUGUUAUCACAAUGGUCCAGAAGAUUGUUACACAGGUCGUCGGCAUUGGCUUCUUGGGACCAGUGUUAUGGGGCUGGAGCGUAAGAUCUCAAGGAGAAAAUACGGGUUACCCAAGAGCCCAGAGAAACGUUGUGCAUUGGGCAUCGGUAGUGGAAUCUUGGAGCCAUUGCUAUUGGCCCGAACGCAGGCUGGUUGUGGAUGUCCAAGCAUCCAAGAGGGGAACUGUCCAAGUGGCACUGGAAGUAGUACCAGUGAUUUUGGCUAGAACGCAGUUUUCCACAGGCUUAAUGGUGGGUUAGCUUUCCAGGAGGAACCAAUCCAUUAAGCAAACAAGAUCUUUGUAGGAAGGUCUGGUCUAAGAGGUUAUACACCGGGCUCAUGCGUUGGAUUGUUAGAACCAAUGCAAUGAGCCUGGAAAUAUACAGAGUGAUUGGGUUAUCCAACAGCCCAUAAGAAUCUUGUGAAUCGGUAUCGGUAGUGGAAGCUUGGAUCCACUACUAUUCGCCAAGUAUUGUAUGUUCGGACGUCCAAGCGUCCCGAAAGUGGUUUUACUUCGGGCACUAGUAUUGGACUGUUGGAACCAAUGCUACGUGCCUGAAGUAACAGUACAACGAAGUAAAAUGGGCAAUCUAACAUCCCAAAAGAGCGAGAAAAAAGAAGAAAUAUUCUGAAAAUGAAAAUACCUGGACAAAUAAAACAUAAAAAAUAUAAAACAUCAAAAAAAGAAGGAGUGGGAGAAAAUUAAGAAGUGGUAGGGGAGUGGAUAACCUAUGUUCCAAUGGACGAGAGAAGGUUUCAUAACACUUCUGUCCAGAAGAUUGUUACAAGAGGUAUCGGUAUUGGCUUCUUGGGACCAACGCUACAGACCUCGAGUGUAAGAUCUCAACAUAGGAGAAGCGGCUACCCAAGAGCCCAGCAGUACUGCAGGGAGUAGUAUUGCAAAAAUGAUUGAAAGUUGAUGCAUUUGAAAUAUGAUUUUUAAAACAACACCCUUUGAAAUAUCAAUUUCAAUGAACUAUAACAAAAAAAAUGAAAAUUUUAAAAUCUUCACGCAUUCCUUACGCAUUGUUUGUUUUGUAAUGGUGAUCUGCAAAGUUCAUGCUCUAAUUCAAUUUAGUUUCACGGCGUGUGCCUAUCUUCAAAGAUUUGUAAAAUUAUUUACUUCGGGAUAGUUCAUCAUUGAAAAUUGCGUCUUUGUAUCAUCUCAUAACUCAUUGAUCUAAUUUUUAAUGAAGCAUAAUAAAGUAAAAUCAUGAAUUUUAAUACCGCAAUUGAUUAUAGAACAUGCUUGCAUUUACAUAUAAUAAAGUAAUUCUCACAAAACGAGAUAUUUUUCGUUACGAAUAAUUGCGUCCCAUAAUAUCUCUAAAUGUUUCGAUACUAUCAACCGUAAAAAAGGAGUUAAAAAUGCCAACAUUUUGUACUACAAAUCGAAUUACCUAUUUUCUAUCCUUGAUUCAUAAUCAUACCUUAGCUUGGGUUUUUCUUGUUAUUGUGUACUAAUAUUUUUUUUAUUAAAAUAAUCCAAAAAGAGACAGUAAUAAUGUCCUAAGUGAUAACAUAACAAACAAGACAUAAGACUUAUAUUAGUAGCAGGAAAUAACAGGAUGAAGUAUUCAUUUAUUAGAUCCGAUUAUUACACGGAUACGGACUAGCACAUUUCAAAACUGUUGCGUAACAAACCUGAUCCUACAAGAUUACACACGCCAAGUAAUGGCGACAGGAACUGAGGAAUGUAAAAUGCAACUCCAGAACAUGUAGCAAUUUGAAAAUAUCAAGGAAUCUUCCAAAAAAUACAGGAGAACUAAGGUUAGGAGGUUAUGAAAGAUAACAUAAGUACAUUAAUAAGAUCAUCAGCCAAUAGGCAAAGCUACCUCCAUUUCAAAGAAAAGUACACGCUUCGAGGAGAAAAAAAACCGUCUGUCUUCACGACCGCGAGAAGGAAUUCCUAACGGUAAACCUAAAGAUUCGGUUCAUGUUUUAUAAGUGAGACAUUAAAUAGGAGUCUUUAAGUACAUCGAAAGGUCAAAACUGUGCACUGCAGUCGUGCAUCAACACGGGGUACAAUUAGUUGAAAUCAGUUGCGGUAAAAUGCACGUGCUGUGGAAAGUUGUUCAUUGCUACCAUGGAGAUGUAAACGUGUUUUGCUGGACGGAUUGAUGGAAUCGUGUAAUCGUGUGAAGGUGUGCGGUAACGUUAAGAAAUAGUGUGACACAAAUGAUCCCACACAGAUACUUCAGUUUGAUGUGAAACCCGUUGUGGGGAGUACUUACGGACAUCAAUGUAUCACUGAUCGAGACAGCACACAAUAUUCCUGUGGAAGUCUUAACCGACACAAGAGCCCAGGAAGAGCCCAGAAAAGAAUCACGGUAUUCCGCAACAGUGUAGAGCUCUCUAUAACUGGUACACCACCUUCCGAUAAGGAUUCAGUAUCACAAAACAAUCCAGCAUUGAAAGUUCGUAGGAAAUUCGUGGGAAACUAUUCAGAAAUGAACAUAAAAUUUCCUUACGGUACAUAUCCUACGACGUAAACGUAUGUAACCUUCCAGAAUACUGCACUAUACAACUGAUGUACCUGUGGGGGAAGUGUAUUCCUCACGAAGCAUGGCAGCAAUGGCAUGGAGAACGAUGGUCUGCUCCGAAGUAGGAAACCGAAAUAAACACCGGUUGAUUUAUUCUAAUCUGUGUUGGAAAACAGCUAACGAGAAUAUUAUAUACAUUGGAGUUAUUAACUAUCAGAUCAACUCGAGUACAAAUGCAUUUACCUGUUAUCCAUCAUCGCAAGCAACAGCAACAGCAAAAAAGCAACAACUUCUAUCAAUCUAUCAUGGCAGAUGAUGUUUAAACGGUUCAAGUCUACGGUUUAAAUAGUUGAUAAACGAUGCGCCGGUUUACGAAGUACAAAUGACAAAUACUGUUGAGUUAAUAUUGCCAAUUUAAAGCUAAGGUUUACUUAAAUUUGAAUACGAAGACAAGACAAAGUUUUGCCAUAAAUGGUUUCUGAGGAAAAUGUCGCAAGUUUUAUUGUGCUGCAUACAACUGAAUUGAUAUGUGAGGUACGCGAGGAAAACUUUCAGGUUUUUUUUUAAUGCGAGAACUUUUAAUGUACACCCAUAGAAAAAGGACGGUUUGUAACUAAAGAGAAUUUAGCAACAGGAAAGCGUAGGGAAUCAGCUUUCGAAUAUGGAUUUUGUCAGGUGCCAGAAUUAUAUAAAUAAAGAUGCGAGAAACGUUUAGAAAA